UGCCCAGCAACUCCUAUCCCUACCUUCUCGUGGUACUGGCCGGGGUACGAGUAACCUUGGGGAAGAUCGGGUAACCAACCCCCGGUGGGAACUUUGGUCGUAUGCUGACAGGGAAGG
rfam:Aedes aegypti strain Liverpool supercont1.266 genomic scaffold, whole genome shotgun sequence.